GAAAGAAUGUAGGGGGGCUGGUGUUGCCAGCUGAGAUAGUGUCCGAUAGACGCUGACCCUUUGAACCUGAUUUGGCUCGUACCAGCGUAGGGAACAUCUAUUCAAAAAGU
rnacentral:ncRNA from 1 species